AUCAUCUUGUUGCUCAGCUAAAGUUCAUAUCAUCAAACUGAAUUACAGAACUUCCAUCACAGAGUUUGAUUAUGGGGCUAGGCAUCAUUCUGCAGUGCAUUUUUAUACUCAUGUUAACACGAGGUUUUUGCAGUGCUGAGAUCAGACUGGACCAGUCUUCUGCUGUGGUAAAGAGACCUGGAGAAUCUGUGAAGAUCUCGUGUAAAAUAAAUGGCUUUGAUAUGACAAGCUACUACAUGCACUGGAUCCGACAGAAACCAGGGAAAGCUCUGGAAUGGGUUGGUAGGAUGGAUGCUGGCAAAAAUCAAGCAAUAUAUGCAGAGUCUGUAAAGAACCAAUUCACACUAACAGAAGACGUCCCGGCAAGCACACAGUACUUAGAGGUCAAGAGUCUGAGGACAGAGGACACUGCGGUUUAUUACUGUGCUCGAAGAGCCACAGUGACUGGAGCGAAGGAAACAGCUGCUAAAUUUGAGCCAACAGUAGCAACCACCCAGUACUCCCAAGCAACCACCCAGAACACCCUUGCAUCUGCCUAG